rnacentral:lncRNA from 1 species
AAAAGAUUAUUGACAAUAUUGGGUUAAUUAUAUAUAUUAAUUAUAUAUUAAACUAUAGUUAUUAUUGUGAUUAUAUAUUUAUAUCAGUUAUUAAUCAUUAAAUUUCUCAUUUUGUUCUUUCAAGGAGGGAAUGUAAGAUAACUUGCCACGUGGCAAGAAUUAUUCUGGCUUCAUAUAGUUUUAUAGAUAUAUAUAUAUAUAUAGAGUUGAGCUAGAAUACUCUCGAUAGUAAACGGAGCAUUUUACUAUCGAGUUGUUUUCGAUGAUAGAGCUUCCAAAUUGACGAUCGGCUCCGUUAAAUAUGAUCUAAUCUCCACAAUAAUAUAUAGCACCCUGAUUGUAAAAAUAUAUGAUAUAAAAAUUAGGAUUAAUUUCAUGCAGCUCCUUGUAAAUAAUGAAUUAUAAAUUAUCCACGCAAAGUUCAAUUUUCAUACAUUGUUUUUGUAAAAAUUCUAAUAUUUUCAAAUAUAUUUCUGCCGUUAGAAUCCGUUAGAAAACUUUAAUUAACUAUAAAUUAAAUACUUAACUCUAAUUAAUUAUAAAAGAACUUGACAUUUUUGCUCCUCUUAUAUUAUACUAUUGUAGCUUUUGAAGGGACGUACAUAUUUGUGCCGACAAAAUUAACAUUUCACUUAAAAUAUAAAUAGUUCUAUAAUGGUAACAAAUCAGAAAAAUAUAUUUGAAAAUAUUAGAACUUUUAUAGGAACAUUAUAUAAAAAUUGAACUUUAAAGAAAUAUAUUUGUAAUUUGCUAUAUUUGCAGAGACCUGUAUGUAUUUAAUCCUAAAAAUUAUACGGUAACAACAACCAAAACA